rnacentral:rRNA from 1 species
UACGUAGGGCCCAAGCGUUGUUCGGAUUUACUGGGCGUAAAGGGCGCGUAGGCGGCAAUUCAAGUCAUCUGUGAAAUCUCCGGGCUUAACCCGGAACGGUCAGAUGAUACUGCUUUGCUAGAGUGCGGAAGGGGCAAUCGGAAUUCUCGGUGUAGCGGUGAAAUGCGUAGAUAUCGAGAGGAACACCUGAGGUGAAGACGGGUUGCUGGGCCGACACUGACGCUGAGUGCGCGAAAGCCAGGGGAGCAAACGGG